rnacentral:rRNA from 1 species
CCUACGGGAGGCAGCAGUGAGGAAUAUUGGUCAAUGGGAGAGAUCCUGAACCAGCCAAGCCGCGUGAGGGAAGACGGCCCUAUGGGUUGUAAACCUCUUUUGUCGGAGAACAAAACCCGGGACGUGUCCCGGCCUGCGUGUAUCCGAAGAAAAAGCAUCGGCUAACUCCGUGCCAGCAGCCGCGGUAAUACGGAGGAUGCGAGCGUUAUCCGGAUUUAUUGGGUUUAAAGGGUGCGUAGGCGGUCCGUUAAGUCAGCGGUAAAAUUGCGGGGCUCAACCCCGUCGAGCCGUUGAAACUGGCAGACUUGAGUUGGCGAGAAGUACGCGGAAUGCGCGGUGUAGCGGUGAAAUGCAUAGAUAUCGCGCAGAACUCCGAUUGCGAAGGCAGCGUACCGGCGCCAGACUGACGCUGAGGCGCGAAAGCGUGGGGAGCAAACAGGAUUAGAUACCCCUGUAGUC